UCCUCCAGCCAUCUGGGCAGCAAAGUUCUGCAAAGAAACCCAACAACGUUAGGAGGUUGAAAGGCACUAGGUCUUCCCUACUUGGCUAGAAUUGACUUUAGCCACACACCUUCACUCAGUGGAGCUCUUUCAUGAGAGUGAAUAGUUGCUUGGAAUGUACUUGGCAAGAACCAAGGAUAAAUGUCUUCCAAGGACAGUGGUCACUCGUCUUCCAGGGAAAUACAAGUGCCCAGUCAUCCUUCCUCCUAUCCCUUACACCCACCCCCCAGCAUCAACUACGUGGUACAGAUGCCAGGAAGCCAGGCCUGAGGGCAAAGCCCAUGGACAGGCUAUGUACACACUGCUGGCAGCCCUGGGAGCCAGCCAGGUCCCUGAAGGUGAAGAACAUGGUAAGAUGACAGCAAGGCCAGGAGCCUGCAGAUCAGUAACUUGCGCGCAGCGAGGAAGGGAC
rnacentral:lncRNA from 1 species